GCGUCAGUAGGUUGGUCGUGCCACCGGUACGUACUGGUCUCACUGAUUCCUCCUUCCUGAAGAACCGUAAUGCCCUUAAUUUGGUGUUGCGGGGAAACAGGACUGUUACUUUGAAAAAAUUAGAGUGUUUAAAGCAAGCUAACGCUUGAAUACAUUAGCAUGGAAUAAUGAAAUAGGACGAUCGAUCCUAUUUUGUUGGUUUCUAGGAUUGACGUA
rnacentral:rRNA from 1 species